UCCUUCGGGAGUACACGAGCGGCGGACGGCUGAGUAACGCGUAGGAACGUACCCCAAACUGAGGGAUAACUGCUCGAAAGAGUAGCUAAUACCGCAUGUGCUCUACGGAGUAAAGCUACGGCGGUUUGGGAACGGCCUGCGUACGAUUAGAUUGUUGGUGAGGUAAUGGCUCACCAAGUCGACGAUCGUUAGCUGGUCUGAGAGGAUGAUCAGCCAGACUGGGACUGAGAACGGCCCAGACUCCUACGGGAGGCAGCAGUAGGGAAUUUUCCACAAUGGACGAAAGUCUGAUGGAGCAACGCCGCGUGCAGGAUGAAUGCCUUUGGGUUGUAAACUGCUUUUAUCUGUGACGAAUAUGACGGUAGCAGAUGAAUAAGGAUCGGCUAACUCCGUGCCAGCAGCCGCGGUCAUACGGAGGAUCCAAGCGUUAUCCGGAAUUACUGGGCGUAAAGAGUUGCGUAGGUGGCAGAGUAUGUCUGUAGUGAAAGCGUGUGGCUCAACCAUAUACACAUUACAGAAACUGCUCAGCUAGAGGGCGAGAGAGGUUACUAGAAUUCCUAGUGUAGGAGUGAAAUCCGUAGAUAUUAGGAGGAAUACCGAUGGCGUAGGCAGGUAACUGGCUCGUCCCUGACACUAAGGCACGAAAGCGUGGGUAGCAAACGGGAUUAGAUACCCCGGUAGUCCACGCCGUAAACGAUGGAUGCUAGCUGUAAGAGGUAUCGACUCCUCUUGUAGCGAAGCUAACGCGUUAAGCAUCCCGCCUGUGGAGUACGGUCGCAA
rnacentral:rRNA from 1 species